CCUACGGGAGGCAGCAGUGGGGAAUAUUGCACAAUGGGCGGAAGCCUGAUGCAGCGACGCCGCGUGAGGGAUGAAGGCCUUCGGGUUGUAAACCUCUUUCAGCAGGGACGAAGCGUGAGUGACGGUACCUGCAGAAGAAGCACCGGCUAACUACGUGCCAGCAGCCGCGGUAAUACGUAGGGUGCGAGCGUUGUCCGGAAUUACUGGGCGUAAAGAGUUCGUAGGCGGUUUGUCGCGUCGUUUGUGAAAACCCGGGGCUCAACUUCGGGCUUGCAGGCGAUACGGGCAGACUUGAGUGUUUCAGGGGAGACUGGAAUUCCUGGUGUAGCGGUGAAAUGCGCAGAUAUCAGGAGGAACACCGGUGGCGAAGGCGGGUCUCUGGGAAACAACUGACGCUGAGGAACGAAAGCGUGGGUAGCAAACAGGAUUAGAUACCCUGGUAGUCCACGCCGUAAACGGUGGGCGCUAGGUGUGGGUUCCUUCCACGGGAUCUGUGCCGUAGCUAACGCAUUAAGCGCCCCGCCUGGGGAGUACGGCCGCAAGGCUAAAACUUAAAUGAAUUGACGG
rnacentral:rRNA from 1 species